AUUGAACGCUGGCGGCAGGCCUAACACAUGCAAGUCGAACGAGUGGCGGACGGGUGAGUAAUGUCUGGGAAACUGCCCGAUGGAGGGGGAUAACUACUGGAAACAGUAGCUAAUACCGCAUACCAUCGGAUGUGCCCAGAUGGGUUUAGCUAGUGGGGGGGGUAACGGCUCACCUAGGCGACGAUCCCUAGCUGGUCUGAGAGGAUGACAUGCCAAACUGGGACUGAGACACGGUCCAGACUCCUACGGGAGGAAGCAGUGGUGAAUUUGGUACAAUGGGCGAAAGCCUGAUGCAGCCAGGCCGCGUGGGUGAAGAAGGCUGUCGGGUUGUAAAGUACUUUCGGCGGGGAAGCGUUACCCGAAGAAGAAGCACCGGCUAACUCCGUGCCAGCAGCAGCGGUAAUAC
rnacentral:rRNA from 1 species